rnacentral:rRNA from 1 species
UGGGGAAUAUUGCACAAUGGGCGCAAGCCUGAUGCAGCCAUGCCGCGUGUGUGAAGAAGGCCUUCGGGUUGUAAAGCACUUUCAGUUGUGAGGAAAGGUUAGUCGCUAAUAUCGGCUAGCUGUGACGUUAGCAACAGAAGAAGCACCGGCUAACUCCGUGCCAGCAGCCGCGGUAAUACGGAGGGUGCGAGCGUUAAUCGGAAUUACUGGGCGUAAAGCGCGUGUAGGUGGCUUGUUAAGCCAGAUGUGAAAGCCCCGGGCUCAACCUGGGAACUGCAUUUGGAACUGGCAGGCUAGAGUUUUGUAGAGGGUGGUAGAAUUUCAGGUGUAGCGGUGAAAUGCGUAGAGAUCUGAAGGAAUACCGGUGGCGAAGGCGACCACCUGGCCAAUAACUGACACU